rnacentral:rRNA from 1 species
GUACACACCGCCCGUCGCUACUACCGAUUGAAUGAUCCGGUGAAAUCUUCGGACCGUCGCACGAGGUAGGGUUUCUCACCGAGUGUGAUGGGAAGUUGAUUAAACCUUAUCAUUUAGAGGAAGGAGAAGUCGUAACAAGGUUUCCGUAGGUGAACCUGCAGAAGGAUCA